GAACGAUAGAUCGGGGCUUGCUCCAAUCGAAAGUGGCGCACGGGUGCGUAACGCGUAUGCAACCUACCUUAAUCAGGGGGAUAGCCCGAAGAAAUUCGGAUUAACACCGCAUAAAAACACAGGAUAGCAUUAUCCAAUGUUCAAAUAUUUAUAGGAUUAAGAUGGGCAUGCGUGUCAUUAGCUUGUUGGCGGGGUAACGGCCCACCAAGGCGACGAUGACUAGGGGAUCUGAGAGGAUGACCCCCCACACUGGUACUGAGACACGGACCAGACUCCUACGGGAGGCAGCAGUAAGGAAUAUUGGUCAAUGGAGGCAACUCUGAACCAGCCAUGCCGCGUGCAGGAAGACUGCCCUAUGGGUUGUAAACUGCUUUUAUCCGGGAAUAAACCUGCUUACGUGUAAGUAGCUGAAUGUACCGGAAGAAUAAGGAUCGGCUAACUCCGUG
rnacentral:rRNA from 1 species